CUUGUCUCAGAACUAUAGUAUAACCAUGGGAGAGAAGAACCCCUUAGCAGCCAGUUAAGAUCCCUGGGACUGAGGUUGUGAAUGUCUACUGAUUUUUUUUUUUUUUUUUGUCUAUUGAUCUUUUUAAGGAAUUCUCUAAGGCUAGCCACCAUACUUCUCCAGACACAGGCCUGCCAAUCUGGAACACCAAAGGGGUGCUACUAGUAUGGGACUAUUCUAGCACUAAGGAGACAAUGAAUGUUGAGAUGACAAAGGCCCAUUAUGUAUUGGCACCCAUUAUGACAAACUCCCCUGAGAGCUGGCACAGUUGAACAAAAAGGAUGCUGCUUCUUAGAUCCACAGCCUGUUCAGCUGUCUGCUAGAUGCAUGCUAGUACAUGCAUCCUCCAGCUGGCAGAGACCAGAGAUAAUAUUCUCACUGGUUACACACCCAAGCUCUCGACAUAGAACAAGAUGAGAGAAAAACCUAAUUAGAUCUAUGGUUAUCCUCCUUAUGACAAUGCAAAAAACAGAGACAAAAAACAAUGACCAUCUCUGGGAAGAAAAGGAUCAAAAGAAAACAAGAGUGCUCAUGACAAAUUUUUACCAAAGUUGCUAUCCCAAGGAUAAAUAUAAAUAUUUGCUCCUGCUAACCUAAAUUUGGAAAGGAAGGGUUAAGAAACUUUACCUUCCUCUGUCAACAAGAUCGAUCCUGGAGAGAUGACUUUGUUCUGGAGGCUGGGAAGUCCAAGAUCAAGGAUGUCAGCAGAUUAGAUGUCUAGUUAGACUAGUUUCUUGGUUCACAUAUAGCCAUCUUCUCUCUGUGUCUUCACAUGGUGGAAAGAUUUGUGGUACAAGAAGUGCUAAAGGAAGUCUUUCAACAAGAAAAUGAUACCAGAUAAAAUUGUGCAUCUACACAAAGGAAUAAAGGCACAGGAAAUGCCAAUUGCAUAGAUUCUACUUUGUAGAACUUUUAAAAAUGGUCUUGGAGAAGCUCAAGAGUUUCAGAAAGAAUUCCAAGUGGCUUACAGGAAAUGUUACAAUGAGAUAAAUAAAAUACAAACAUGAAUGGAAAAGAGAGAGGAAAAGAAGAUGAAGUACAAGGAAAAGAAGCUGUAAUGCAUGUAGAAUAAUCUACAUAUAAAUUUAAGUUGAAUAAUCGCUGGCACUGGAGACGGAAAAGCAGAACAGCAGGGAAGGGAGGCAUGCCUAAAAGGUUCAGAUUUGAAGAGUCUCUUUGAAAGUGGGAGAGGACAG